rnacentral:rRNA from 1 species
AUUGAACGCUGGCGGCAGGCCUAACACAUGCAAGUCGAGCGGAUGAAGGGGGCUUGCUCUUGAAGUCAGCGGCGGACGGGUGAGUAAUGCCUAGGAAUCUGCCUGGUAGUGGGGGAUAACGUCGGGAAACGGGCGCUAAUACCGCAUACGUCCUAAGGGAGAAAGUGGGGGAUCUUCAGACCUCACGCUAUCAGAUGAGCCUACGUCGGAUUAGCUAGUUGGUGGGGUAAAGGCCUACCAAGGCGACGAUCCGUAACUGGUCUGAGAGGAUGAUCAGUCACACUGGAACUGAGACACGGUCCAGACUCCUACGGGAGGCAGCAGUGGGGAAUAUUGGACAAUGGGCGAAAGCCUGAUCCAGCCAUGCCGCGUGUGUGAAGAAGGCCUUCGGAUUGUAAAGCACUUUUGGUUGGGAGGAAGGGCAGUAAGUUAAUACCUUCGUGUUAUGACGGUACCGAAAGAAUAAGCACCGGCUAACUUCGUG